GUUUAGCACAUUAGAAAUUCGAAUCUAAAAAUAUCCCAUGAAAAGCAUGACAUGCUUUGAUAUAUGAGUUUAUGCCACAAGAGCAGCUACAACAACAACAAUAAACCCAAUGUAAUCCCACAAGUGGGGUCUGAGGAGGAUAGAGUUUAUGCAGAUCUUACCCCUACCUUGGGAGGUAGAGGACGGACCCUCAACUCAAUGAAAAGCAUGAUAUGCUUUCUAUAUGAGUUUAUGCCAUAAGAACAACAACAACAAGAACAAUAAUAAAUCCAGCGUAAUCCCACAAGUGAGGUCAGGAUAGAGUUUAUGCAGACCUUAUCCCUACCUUGGGAGGUAGAGAGGUUGUUCCAAUUAAUCCUCGGCUCAAUAAAAAGCAUGAUAUAUGAGUUUAUGCCACAAGUGCGUAAUAUAUAAAAUACAAUUACCUGUAAAAGUUCACCAACAUUUACUACUAAUGCACCAGAGACAGGAGGAAUAUCAACCCAGUAAUUCUUAUGAAUAACCUGAAGGCCUCCUAAAUGAUCUUGUAGCAGCACUGUGAGGAAGUCACUGUCUGAAUGCUUGCCAACUCCAACAGUUAACUCUGGCUCAGGGCAUGCUGGAUAACAAUGAUACAAAACAGCAAGCCCCUCCGAACAACCAAUGUCAUUCAGAUAGCUCGAGUUGAGGCCAAGAGCUUCAGAGAGUAAUUCAAACAAAAAACGACCUAACUUCUUCACUUGCUCCGCGUACUCGAUCAGAAUAUCCCUGCAGUAAAAUAAAAUAAUGUACGUAACAGUUCAUUAGACUUUGUGUAUUUACUUCUUUCACGUUGAUGAGUGAAAACUCUGGCUCUGCUAUUGAUUACGUUUACAAAUGACAUUUAGAGUAUUAAGCCUUGCUAUACCUCAAAAAUGACUUAUUUUUCUUUUUUAGUCUGUUUAAAAAAGAAUAAUCUCUUUUCUUUUUCGGUAACAUUUUAAUUUCAGCUCUCCACGUGGCAUGUUUAAGGCCACAAGAUUAAACGGCAAUUUUAUACAUCUGACAUAACUUUAAUUUAGGACCACAAAAUUCAAAAGUCUUCUUUGUUUUCUUAAACUCGGUGUCAAGUCAAACUAGGCCAUUCUUUUUGGAACGGAGGGAGUACUACAAUUUACAACAGAAACACUACAAAUCAUAUUGGAAAAAAGCUUCAAGAACUUUGUUUGAACACCCUGAAAAUGCAUCUGCUUAACUAUUGGGCAUAAAUUUCAAAAUAUGGUUGAAAUCCGCCAGCAUUUUCACUAAGGAUAUUCAAAAUAUAAAGAAAUAAACACACGGAGACGCUAGGGGAAUUCAACAUCUACUAUAUAUACCAUCUAAUUUUCAAAUCAACGAGUAAAUACCUACAAGCCUCUGGCAAUUCAUCAGCAGAAGGAGGUUGUGGGGCCAUAUUACAAUAAGUAGUAUCCCUCCAGUUAGCUGGUGCAGACUUAAACAGAUCAAAAUUGCUAUUAUACACAACUUUUUUCGAUGUAUCCCGUGUAUACCAUUGUUUCUUCACCUCAGUAUCUUGCUCAUAAAAUCUUCUAACACCAUUCAACAUUUCUUCCAAAACACUUUGAGGAAUUCCAUGAUUCACCACUUGAAAAAAAACCCACACUUCCGAUGCAUCGCAUAUUUUUUAGAUGAUUUCCUUAUGUUGUAUUGGAUCUUUACUUAUGCCAUCCAAGUCUAUAACAAGACUACAGAAUUGAUUUUUUUCAGGAUUAUUUGAAAUUACAAAUAUAACUUUAAUUAUGUUACUUAAUUAUUUUAGUUCGAAUUGGAUUACAUUUUUUAUGAAUCAAAAACCAAAAGAUCCAAACCAAAUAAUAUAAAAUCAAUCCGAAAAAAUCAAAUGCACACCAAGAAACAAGUCGUUGUCCUAAAUAAGAUAAAGCAACAAAUUACAUAAUUAAUUUCACUGAGGCACAAACAAUUGCACACAUGAUGAAUGAAAUUGAUGUUCCAUUAUACUUAACUGAACCAAAGCAAACAGAUUUCAUACAUGACAUAAUUCAUAUCCUAUGCCUACUGUCACAAAAGUUCCUAAAAAAGACUUUGCAAUAGAAUUCCUACAUUGCUUGUUUAUUUUGAUAACCAAGAAAUCCUCGAGGCUAACGAGGGCUCAAAACUCUAUGGAUAAUGAGUCCACCUACCUAGUAACAAUAAUCUUCUCAACCAAAUCACAGCAGAUAGAAAAACGAAAAAUCUUGGAGUCUAUGUCGAGCUAAAACAUACUGUUAAAUCUGCACAAGGUAAGUAAUUACAUCAAUUCUCAUACGAACUCUAUAUUGACUUCACUUUGAAGGUUAUGCAGAAAAAGGCAGUUUUUUAUUUGUUUAAAGUAACGAAAACUGAAGUAGAGCCAAAAGUUAAUUUUGAACAUCCUCAAAAUGAACCAAAUCACAACAUCCAAAGGAGGAGAGUUCCAACAGCUAAAUCAUUAAUGUCCAAUGAUACCAGCUCGUAUUAUGUAGGGCAGUCCUUUGAAGCAGUAGCAAUUUGAAACAAAAUUUCGAGAUCUUUUUUUUUUUUUUUUGAUAACCGAGAAAUCCGUCUGUGACCCGCCCUUUGGACCAAUCACAGCCUUCUAAACUCGGUGGAUAAUGGGCCCGCCCCUCUACCCUUCUCCACUUAAAUACCGGGCUUCGCUUUGCAUGGCGUGGGGCUUGAACCUGCGACCUAAGCCACAAAUCCUCCACCUUUUGCCACUUGAGCUAGGCCUUGGGGGUGAGAACAUCUUUUCAUUGGAUGAAAGUGAGUUAGUAUGCUAAUUCCUCAUCUGCAAAUCUGCCCUUAGCAAUAACUGAAAUACAUGUUCUCAAGGACAAACCAAGUAAAACAAAUGGUAACUAGAAGUAUUCUUUCAAGGAUUAAAAAGGUUCCCGACCAGCUUCUGAAUCGACAAAAUUGGGGUCGUACAUCUCAUAUUCAUAAUCAGCAUCAAGGUCCUCCAUUGUUCUGCCAAAUACAAAGUGUUUUGUUCCCAUGGUUGUAAAAGGCAUCAGACCGAAAGCUCUGGCAGUUUUUAUCUCCCUGGCAAUCUUUCUUUGGGCCUUGGCACUAAUUCCAGUCUAUACAUGACCGAAAAGAGAGAAUAAGAAACACUUGCAUAUUCAAUCGUCAAAAAUUAGUCGAUGGAUUUGAUUACGAACCUUGCUCCUCUUGUGGAGAAUUCCCGCCUCCGUGAUGAAGUUAGCUAGGAAUCUCACAUUCUGUAUUGCAAAUUUGUUAAAGGUAUAAAUCAGAUAACUUCGUAAGAGUCAGAAGGCUCGCAAUGGGCCAAAAUUACAAGGCAGUACUUGGGAGGAAGAUACUACUUUUAUGUUUAUAAGCAACAUCACGGUGCUUAGAACAUGAUAUUCAGCAACAAUAAACUAAACAGAGAUCUGAUGCUAAGAAUAACAAAUAAGUAAUAUACGUGCUCAAGGGUGUUUCCAUGUGCAGACAUUGGGGUGCAUAUGUGGAUACAUUUUAAAGCCAUACAUGGUCAAAGUGAUGUAGAACAAAGAAUACAAACCCUGAAAUCAGCUUUGCGCAAAACUUCCUCUGUCGUAGUUUCAAAUUCAUCCCUUUUUUUGGGCUUGCGAACUCCUGGUUUUCUAAGAUCAAGAUCCUGCAUGAUAAUAAUGAAAAGCUUAGAGGUGGACAUGACAGCAUCAUAGGAAAUAUAGAGCAAGAGAACAUGUUGAGCUAUGGCAACAAAUUAAUGUCAUCCAUAAGUUUGCCCUUCCAACAGCGAACAAAGCAUGAAAACGAGGUGUACUAGGAAAUACACACUUAAGAGUAUACAAUUCUAGCAGGCCCAAACAAUUGAAUGUUUGAUGGAAGCUGUUGAAAGUUGAAACACUAAUAUGGGUACAAGAUAUACAAAAACCACAGUGAGACAUAUCCUUACAUGGAAUUGACACUCAAGAUGUUAAAAGCAUACAACAAAUGGUAGCUCAUUACUCAUACCUUGAGUUCAUAAGUGUUCCCGGGCCAAAAGGUCAUAUCUGCUCUGUAAGCAUAAUCUUCUUUGUCUACUUCAUCAGGAUCAACCUGAAAAUAGCUGGCUGCUUCCUUCAGCUUACCAUCCAUCCCAUCUGAUAAUGUAUUAAAACUCUCAUCUAGACCAUCAAGGAUACUAGAUCUGUUUCCAGAAUUGAAUGUGGAGCCUAUACUAGAUCUAUCAUAAGACUUUUCAGCGUCGUCAAGCUUUCUGAAAAAGGAGUUUGAACUUGGCCUGCUACCCGAACUAUCACCAAAAAUUCGUCUUUCAAAGUCUUCAGCAGACUCAAAUGAGUUGGUGCUUUGCUUAUCAUCAGAGGCUGUGUAGUGACAAGGAAAGUUGUGUCCAUUACCAGGGAUGUAGAUAAAAUGCAUAUAAUGAAAAAGGUGAUGAUGACCAAUGAUGAAGAAGCACAUAAUUACACAAUAAAGAAGAAUCAGAUAAAGCUAGAGCGUCUUAAAGAUGAAAAUUAGUAAUGUCAAUUAGGAUUGUCCAAUAUGAAAGGCAGACAAUUUGUGAAGGAUUAGUGAGCCAGUAAAAUAUCAUCCAAGAGAUGCUUGACCAUGUUAGAAUUAUUUCCACUAUCCAAUCACAGGAUGCCGAUUGUCAUUGUAUGUUCAACAUGCUCAGCUAUUUAAAACUCCUAAACAACUUCAUAUUUUUUUUUGAGAAAUAACUCCUAAACAGUUUUCUCCUAAAACAGUUUUUUUCCUGAGUGAUCUUGGAAGAUGUAUGAGGAAAACCAAUAUUGACCAAGGCUCAUUUAAGAAGCGAUUAAUCCCUGAAGUUCAAAAGAGUUCAAGGAGGGCAAUUCGUAUCUCAAGUUGAGCUAAGGAGUGCACAGUUCUACUUAAUUCAAACACUAAAAAUGAAAUUUCUGAACAACGAGAACCGACCAGAUCUAAAUAGUUUGAGGUCAGCCACCUCCAUUUUCUGGCGUAAAGUCAAUAGAAAAUUGCUGAACACCGAUAAUAGGAUUCAAAAUAAGGUCAAUAAAACUAAAUUUGCACAUUUUCAGUUAGAGAAACUACAAAUUAGCAUGAUAAAGUAAGGAAUUCAUUAGAAAAUUGAAUAAACAGUAGUACCUACCAAAAUUCGGAAGUGCAGAAAAAGUCUGAUGAUGAGAUGAAUAACGAGAUAGGCAAGCGUUGGCAGUCCUUAAGACACCUCGGACAAUCUUCAUCUUGGUGACGACGGUGGCAGCAGCGGAGAUGGAAAACGGAUUCGCCGAUUUGAUUCCUAUUUGGAUAAUGGAAGCGUAGAGUGCUGUACAUGGGCUUUGAAAAUGGAGCUUUGGGCUGUGGAUAAGUAAAUUAUUGGGCUACAUAAACUCAAUUUUGAGGGAUAAACUUUAAUUCUUACUUUAAAAUUGCGCGAAUACAGCCCAAAGAGUUGCCAACACACUAUUUUUCAACAUAUACAUAUCUACUUCAAAAUAAACUUCAUCCAAUUUCAAAAUAAACUAAAUCCAACUUCAAAAUAAACUAAAAAACGAUCAAACAACUAAACAACCUUAACUCUAACUAGUUUUGACUUAAUUCCAACAACUAAAUCUACCAACUAAAUCACAUAUUUUUAACAACUUUAACUAGUUUAGUUUUGACUUAAUUCCAACAACUAAAUUCACCAACUAAAUCACAUUAUUUAUUUUAAUUUAUCUAAACAACUUAACAACUUUUUAACUUGAACUAGUUUAGUUUUGACUUAAUUCCAACAACUAAAUCCACCAACUAAACCACAUUAUUUAUUUGAACUUAUUUAAACUUAUUAACUCUAACUAGUUUUACUUAAAUCCACCAAACUAAACCACAUUGUUUAUUCGAACUUAUUUAAACAACUAAACAAUAUUAACUCUUACUAGUUUUGAAUUAACUCCACCAACUAAACCAAAUGAUUUAUUUGAACUUAUUUAAACAACUUUAACUCUAACUAGUUUUGACUUAAUUCCAACAACUAAAUCCACCAACUAAACCACAUUAUUUAUUUGAACUUAUUUCAACAACUAAACAACUUUAACUCUAACUAGUUUUGACUUAAUUCCAACAACUAAAUCCACCAACUAAACCACAUUAUAAUUUUUAUUUGAACUUAUUUAAACAACUAAACAACUUUUACUAGUUUAGUUUUGAAUUAAUUUAAAACUAAAUCCACCAACUAAACCACAUUAUUUAAUUUAACUUAUUUAAACAACUUAACAACUUUAACUAGUUUAGUUUUGACUUAAUUCCAACAACUAAAUCCACCAACUAAACCACAUCAUUUUAAAUAAUGAGUCAAACUAGCUAGGGGUUGAUUAAACUUUAUUUGAACUUAUUUCAACAACUAAACAACUUUUUUUAACUCUUAACAAUUUUGACUUAAUUCCAACAACUAAAUCCACCAACUAAACCACAUCAUUUUAAAUAAUGAGUCAAACUAGCUAGGGGUUAAUUAAACUUUAUUUGAACUUAUUUCAACAACUAAACAACAUUAACUAUAACUACUUUGGAAUUAAUUCCAACAACUAAAUCUACCAAUUAAUAGGAUCAACUAGUGUUGGUACUUAUGCUUAUCAAACACAUUAUUCCUAAAUUAAAGCUUAGUAUCAACACUAGAUGGACACAAAUCGAUCUUGCAAGAAAAUCAAUUUUGUCAUCAAUAGGAUCAACUAGUGUUGGUACUUAUGCUUAUCAAACACAUUAUUCCUAAAUUAAAGCUUAGUAUCAACACUAGAUGGACACAAAUCGAUCUUGCAAGAAAAUCAAUUUUGUCAUCAAUAGGAUCAACUAGUGUUGGUACUUAUGCUUAUCAAACACAUUAUUCCUAAAUUAAAGCUUAGUAUCAACACUAGAUGGACACAAAUCGAUCUUGCAAGAAAAUCAAUUUUGUCAUCAAUAGGAUCAACUAGUGUUGGUACUUAUGCUUAUCAAACACAUUAUUCCUAAAUUAAAGCUUAGUAUCAACACUAGAUGGACACAAAUCGAUCUUGCAAGAAAAUCAAUUUUGUCAUCAAUAGGAUCAACUAGUGUUGGUACUUAUGCUAAACAAAUACAUUAUCACCUAAUUUAAAGCUAAGCCAACCCUCGAUGGACACAAAUAAAUUAUCACAAAAUUAAAGCCUAGUAUCAAUACUAGAUGGACACAAACACAUUAUAGAAAACAAUUGUACUUGAACUUUAGAAAUUUAAACACAUUAUAGAUAACGAAUACUGUCUUAUUGAUUAAAGGUCUCCUUUUUUAUAGGAGCAUGCUGAAAUUAGUUUCUGAAAUGUUGUGCGCUCAAGGAGGUCAGAAGUUGAGUCCUUAUCUAUGUGCGCAUGUUAGUGGUUUCCAUACUUCAAAGGUAAAAUGGUUUGACUUGAUGCUACUACUUCAUGCAGCCUUUCUAUGUUCAUAUGUGCAUACAUAAUAUUGGCAGGAGUGACUGAAUGUUCUUGCUUCUGCCUUAUUGACUUGAAUGGUUCUCCAAUAGGACAUGGCUAUUUAUACCUAAGCUCCACUUGUUAAUUCUGAGGCUUCUUGUUUGUUUUAUCCAGUGGUGUGUUUGUAUAUCUUUCAAACAAAGACGGUCUUUACGUAAAAUAAAUGCAGAAGAGUGCUCACUAACUUCCAUACAACUGACUCUUGGGUAAGAUGACUGAUGAAUGUCACAAAUUGCUUGGGAAUCAGUAUGUCUUCUUGUUUCCAUACAAAGAUUGUUGGAAUGAACUCUAUUGUUUCAGAGUGUCAGUUUCAUAUUGAGAUAAAGGCUGCAGUGAGUCAAGAGUUAAUUUUUCUCUAGAGAGUCUAGACUCCUAAUAAAUCUACAUUCACAGACAUUGUUUCUCCUUCCAUCCCAAGUUUGAUUAUCUAGUUUUGCCAGUCUCAUAUAACUAGAGCUUAAAUAAAUUUGAAUAGUUUUAGAGUUCUAAUAUUAGAGUUAUUUACAGACGUGUUUGAGAAAUUGUUGGACACUACGUAAACUUCAAUUUAGCUUUAUUACAAGUACUGUUAUGUAUGUAUGAUGAUUAAUCAAAUACCUGGAUUACUAGAAUUUCGCCGAAGAGGAGAGGAAUGGAGAUGCGAGGGUCUCGCUGUUGUUGUUGUCGUCUUCGAUGGGGUUCGCCGGAGUUGGCUGCUCGUCGCUCGCUGGUCAGAGCAGCUGGAGCUGCUGUUUGUUGUUUUCGUCCUCACUGGAGUGAAGGAGAAGAGAGAAAGAGACUCGCCGGUCGGAGCUGGUCCUCGCACUGCUUCUGGCCGGCGCGGCUUUCGCUUGCUGGCGAGAAGAACGGAUCGGAGGCGCCACCCGGUUUCCGGCUGGUUUUCGCGGUUGCUCGCUGGCCGGCGCCGUUCGCUGCUUCGCCUGAGCUGCUAGGAGAAUAGAGGAGAGGGAGAGAUGGGGAGGAGGAGAUGAGAGGAAGAUGAAGAAAGAAGGAUGGCUUAUACCAUCUCCAACCCCACUCUAUUUUACUCUCCAUUCUCUAUAUUUGGAGAGUAAAAUAGAGAAAGGGCUCUCCAACCACCCUCUAAAUUACUCUCUAUUCUCCAUUUAUAGAGAGGUGAAUAGUAGUUCUCCACUAUUCACACUCUCUAUUUCACUUUUUCAUUAUUUUAUUAUUAUUUUCUAUUAUUUUGUAGUUAACAUAUUAUUUUUNNNNNNNNACAACAAUAAUUUAGAAAUCCGGUAGGUCGUUUCUAGAUUUAGCACUAUUCGGAAAAAAAUAAGAUAUGAUUCCGAGAAUUGUUGCGAUUGUGGUUGUGAUUGCGGUUGUGACUGCGGUUGUGAUUGUCGAUUUCUUUUUUCAAGUAUUCGUUGUUGUUCUCGUUGCAGGUAAUCACGAAUAUUUGGAUCACUAAUAGUUUCUAAAUUUUUCAUUAAAAUUUUAGUUUCGUCUCUUAAAUUCCUUGGCUUUGAUAUAUCUAUCUAGCCUUUCGCCAUCCUGUUGUUUGGAUGUAGCAGACUCUGAUUAACAUCUUCCCAAGUCGAUUAUUUUCGGUUUUCGAAAAGUUUCAUAGCUGACGAAAGACCUUCAUCUUUUGAUCUUUUUAAUUUUGAUUUCUUCACCCCAAUAGGCUGUUCAGAUGAAGUGUAAUGACCUGAAAAAUUCUCAUUUAAAUUAAGUGAAAAAGAUGAUAAGUUAGGAGAUGAUACUAUAGGUGAUGUAGGACUAGGAGCCUCGGACUCCGAUGAUUGCAAAGUAGAGCCUUGGCCUCGAACUUUUUUCUUUCCGAUGUCGAUAUCCUUAAACUUUUCAAAAUCUUUCAUGAGAUUCNNNNNNNNNNNNNNNNNNNNNNNNNNNNNNNNNNNNNNNNNNNNNNNNNNNNNNNNNNNNNNNNNNNNNNNNNNNNNNNNNNNNNNNNNNNNNNNNNNNNNNNNNNNNNNNNNNNNNNNNNNNNNNNNNNNNNNNNNNNNNNNNNNNNNNNNNNNNNNNNNNNNNNNNNNNNNNNNNNNNNNNNNNNNNNNNNNNNNNNNNNNNNNNNNNNNNNNNNNNNNNNNNNNNNNNNNNNNNNNNNNNNNNNNNNNNNNNNNNNNNNNNNNNNNNNNNNNNNNNNNNNNNNNNNNNNNNNNNNNNNNNNNNNNNNNNNNNNNNNNNNNNNNNNNNNNNNNNNNNNNNNNNNNNNNNNNNNNNNNNNNNNNNNNNNNNNNNNNNNNNNNNNNNNNNNNNNNNNNNNNNNNNNNNNNNNNNNNNNNNNNNNNNNNNNNNNNNNNNNNNNNNNNNNNNNNNNNNNNNNNNNNNNNNNNNNNNNNNNNNNNNNNNNNNNNNNNNNNNNNNNNNNNNNNNNNNNNNNNNNNNNNNNNNNNNNNNNNNNNNNNNNNNNNNNNNNNNNNNNNNNNNNNNNNGUAAGUUUUGCUUUUUACCAUGGGAUGGAUUUCACUAUAUUUUUAACCAUUGGAUGAGAUUUUCAUCCUUAUCUCAAUUUUUUUUUUAGAUAAGUAAAAAUUAUCUAUAAAUAUUAAUAGGAUAGUGUAAUCUUCAUUUUCACCAUGGGAUGGAUUUCACUGUAUUUUUAACCAUAGGAUGAUAUUUUCAUCCUUAUCUCAAAAAAUUACUUCUAGAUAAAAUAAAAUUACUAUGUAGAUAAAUAGAAUAGAAUGUAAUUUUGAUUUUUACUAUUGGAUGAAUUUCAUCAUAUUUUUAAUCGUAGGAUGAGAUUCUCAUAGUUAUCUCAAAGUUAUUUUAGAUAAAUAAAUUAUAUGUAGAUAUUAAUCGAGUAAAACCUAUCCGCACAUAAUGUAUACAACAAUCUAAUACAUGCAUCUCAUGUGUUUGAAUUUAUAAUUCAUUUUACGCAAUUUUAAAACCUAUCCGCACAUAAUGUAUAUUUUCUUGCAAUUUAUGUUAUUUAAAAAUUUAGAAUAAAAAAUAAUUUUAUAUCACAUUAAAAAUUAUAUAAAGUAAUUAUUUGGGAAAAAAGAAAUAAAGGAUUUAUAUUAUGAAAUAAGAAAAUAAGAAUGAAAUAGAAAUAAUAAUAUAAUAUUGAGGAGAGAGAAAAAGAUUCAUUUUUAGAGAGUAAAAUAGAGAAUUGGGUUGGAGUUGGUUGUCUGAAAAAAUAGAGAACUCUAUAUUUGGAGAGUAAAAUAGAGGAUUGGGUUGGAGAUGCCCUUAGGGUUUUGGUUCUUUUGGUUUAUUUAAAAUAGAUAAGAAUGAAGAUUUAAUCUCAGUCUUUUGUUUGAAUGAUAUGGACGAUCAAGAUUUGAUCUUGUAGUUGAUUUGGAUGAAUGAAUGGCUGAGAUUAAAGGAUGGGGCUUUUGAGAAUUGAAUUGAAUCAUAGGCUAUAAUUGAAAAGUGUUGAAAGGCUAUAAUUGAAAUAAGCAACUGGCCAUAAUUGACAUGAAAUUGAAUAUGAAAGGCUGGAGUUGAAAUAGAAUUGGAUAGGAGAAUUAAACAAAUUGAACAAAAGAGGUUAUGAUUUAAAUGAUUUAAGGAGAGAUUAAGGAAAUGCUAUUCAAUUAAUAAAAUACUACAUAUAUUAAAAUAUUUUCAUAUAAAUUAAACACACGUAAAUUUAAAAACAUUUAAAUAAGGAGUUAUUUCAAGUUUAACUAUUGAUAAAUAUAAUAAUUUAAUAAUAAUAAUUGAUAAUUUUGUAAAUUAGCGAUACUAUAAUAUAUAAUUUUAGACAAAAUCGAUCAAGAUUUUAAAACUCGUAAUAUGUUUUAAAAAUACGUAUUUAAUCGAAUAAGUCGGUCAAAAUCGGGUGUCAACAAUAUAUAUAUAUAGAAGAGUAUCUAACCUUUACCAGAUACAUCUAUACCCUCAACUAUAUCUCAGUUGAAAAAAUUAAAGAUUUUAAUGUUAAGGCCACUGGAGUUGACAAAAAACUCCCCCUAUAUAUAUAUAGCUCCUAAUUAUAUAAAUUUAAUUUUAUCGAUCAACAUAAGUUUAUCAAUAUCAAAUUUAAUAUAUAAAUCUCCUUAAAUUGAUCAUCGGUAUUUCUUUAAUUGAUAAUAUAUUUCAUAUCUGAAACAUUAAUAUAUAAGACUUGAUUUGUUAAACUACUCGACGAGUAUAUAAUCAACAUAUUUCAUACUCCAAUGAAUUAUCCUUUACAUGUCAGUGCCUACGGUAUGAUCACUACACUUGACAUCCAUUCAAAAUCGAACGUAAAAAUCUUGAUAGAACUUGCUUUGUACAGUACUUUACAAUGUUCUAUUGUCUAUUUCAUAAAAUGAAAAUUUAGUAUUAUGCACAAUAGCAAAAUUAUGAUUAAUAGGAGUAUUUUAAACAAAUCGACCUCCGGAUGUCGCGUUUAUUAAAAGUAAUUAGAUUAAAUAAAAAAUACCGACCUCAUGAGGUCGGUAUCACAUUAAAUUGUAAGAUAAAUAAAAAGUAGUCAUGUUAAUUAAAUAAUACUGACAUAAGGAAGUCGGUAUUUUAUAUUAAUUUAUUUUUGAACUUAUAUAAAACCGUCAUCCGGAGGACGAUUUAUUUAAAGUUAAUUGAAAAUAUUAAUUUAUUAAUUUUCUGGAAGUCACUAUAUAAAUAUUUUAAUGAAAAUUAAUUUAAUUACAUACUAUUUAAUUUUACUGACUUCCGAAAGUCGGUAUUAUCAUUCUUUUGUUUUUUAUUUUACACAAAACCGUCCUCCGGAAGACGAUUUAAAUAAAAUUAAUUCAAAAUAUUUCUCAAUUUUGUUUUUUAUAUUUAAUUGAGAAAAAAUAAAAUAUUGUUAUUUAUUGAUUUAUUUAAUACCGACAUCAAGAGGUCAGUUUUUAUUGUAAUUCAUUUUUUUUGGGAAAAUUUCGACCUCCAGAGGUCGGUAUUUGAUUUUUCCGCUUUAUUUUUCAUAAAAACCGACUCCUUGUAGUCGGUUUUUUAAAGUUUUUUUACUUUUUUAUUCUUUUUAACAAUAUCGACCUCCAGAGGUCGGAAAUUACCGACUUCUAUUUGAGGUCAGUAAUUUUUAGGUCGGUAUUUAUUGUCUUUUUAGUAGUGGAACAAGUGACGACCAUAAUGAAGCAAGAACAUAAUUAGUCAACACUAUCAAGAACACACAUGAGGACUUAGACCCCCACACCACGCUCUUUUGGGAAAUGAAUUCUUUGAGAUUGAGUGUAUUAAGUUAUAUUAAUAUGCUUUCCUUUAAUGUUAUUUUAAUAAAUAUGGAUCAAAUAGUAGAGGGCCAAGUGGAUAGCCAGUUUGAUUGCCUCCCGAAAGUGAACCCCUGCUUAUUUUGAGCAUGUUCGAGGGUUACUUAUAUUGAGCAUGUUGGAGGCCACUACAAGUGUUGUUCUUCUAUCCACAUAUCGUAAUAUUACAAGGUGAGACUUGGGGAAAUAUGGUGAUAUUGAAAAAGUUUGGACAAAUUAGGAAUUAAUUUUGAUCGGCAGCGAGUAAUGAUUUGUAAUAAUAAUUUUCUAAGGUAAGAAAAGCAUGACAAACCAUUUUGAUAAAAAAGGAAGAGUAACUAUAAUAAGAUAGUGCAAUAAUCCAAGUACUAGAGAUAGUAGAAUGUAAAAGAAAUCGGAGGACAAAAAUUACUGGAGAAAUACUACUACUACUAUUAAUGAAGGAUAAACAAGACAAUACUAUACUACUACUAACAUCUUACCGUAAUUUGUGUCAUCUACAACCUCAUAUCUAAAGUCAUGUAUCUGAUGUGAAUUUUUGUUUUCUUAGGGUCUUCAUGUUGGGUUAUGAAGGUGAUAAGGACGUUAUGCGAAAACUUACAAUUGCAAAUCAUAUGAUCGAUAAAUGAGACGACAAAAACUUAUACUAAAAAACAUAACAUUAUUAUACGAAAACUAAUAUAAAAGAAAAAUAUUAGAACAAUUGAGAGAAUAAAUCUCCCCAUAAACUAAACUCUUAAAUGUCUACAUUGUGGAUGUUCUUGUGUUAUGCUAUGAGAAUAGAGAUCUUCAAACUUUUCAUCUAAGAAAAGAAUAAACCAAAUAUGGAAGAAGAAUAUAUUUUUCUUUCAUGAAAAAUAAAAACAUUUAUGAUAAUGUUUUGUCUUUUCCUUUAGGAAAAAAUAAACUUCAACUAAAGAAGAAAAUCAGGCAAAACCCUAACACUUCACUCUUCAAUGCAUGUUCAUUGCUUGUCUACUUGAGACUUCACUUGUAUAGUAAACUCUCAUGUUUAAGUAGGCCAUAAUGAGUAGAAUCCUAAUCAAAAUAACAGUAGACACACUUGUAUGUCUUAAUGUAACAAACUCAAGUUACCACACAAUGAGGAUAUCUAUUAUAAUCGUUGACAAUACAAAAUACAAUUGAGAAAUGGAAACAACAAGCAAGUAACCACUAGCGAUCCUUAAAACGAAACUCAGAAUGUAAUCAAAAGGGGGAGAAGAUCAGAAAUUACAGAGAUGGAUAGAAGGGGAUGAGAAGCUUAGACUAAGAAGGGGAUGAGAGGAAACACUCUUUUCUUUAACAAUUUGCAUAAGUCCAAUUUGCUCUCCCAAGUCGUAUUUAUCAACCCGAAUCCCAAACAUAGUCUGGCCCAAUUGCUUGUUCUCGGCCCAAUAGGUCUUGCCAGCCCAACAACUAUUUGUGUGAUCUUGGUAUUCCUAUUGGGUUGGACUUGGUUCAUAACACUUAAUUCAGUACAAUAGUUACAUAUAUAACUGAUUGUAGGAUCAAACAGUUGCAGACUAACAAUCGUUUCAUAUCCUAAAAUCUGACAAAGCAGAUUUCCCUCCUAUCCCUGUUGCAUUAUAAUGAUCUGCAUAGUCCUUCACACUAGUUUCCCUAUACCUCGCGGGAUUAUCUUUUGAUAACAACUCCUUAAUUGGUCCAUAAACUCUUGAUGAUAACGAAUGACCCGUGGUAAAGAAACUGGCCACCGAUACUCUUGGACCAACACCGCUUGCCAGUACUCUGUGUGCAAUGCUCUUCAACUUGUCAUUUGAUAUGAGCUGCAAAUUUUCCAACAAAACUGAGUUUAGCACAUUUCAAAUUCAAAUCUAAAAAUAUCCCAAUUUUUGAAUCAUUUCUAAGAAACCUGCCACAAGAGCACCAUCACCACCACCAACAACAACAAAAACAUUGUAAUGGCCACAAUUGGGUCUGGGGAGGAUAGAGUGUAUGCGGACAGCAUACUUUACUCUUACCUUGGGAGGUAGAAAUAUUGUUUUUGAUAAACUCUUGCCUCAAUGAAGAGCAUGAUAUACUAUGAUAUAUGAGUUUAUGCCACAAGAUUAACAACAACAACGAUAAUAAGCCCAAUGUAAUCCCACAAGUGGAGUCUGAGGAGGAUAGAGUUUAUGCAGAACUUACCCCUACCUUAGGAGGUAGAGGAGGUUGUUUCCGAUAAACCCUCAACUCAAUGAAAAACAUGAUAUGCUUUCUAUAUGAGUUUAUGCCACAAGAGCAACAACAACAAGAACAAUAAUAAACCCAGCGUGAUCCCACAAGUGAGGUCAGAAUAGAGUUUAUGCAGACCUUAUCCCUACCUUGACAGGUAAAA
rnacentral:lncRNA from 1 species